GAUGAACGCUGGCGGCGUGCCUAAUACAUGCAAGUCGAGCGAACAGACGAUGAGCUUGCUCCUCUGACGUUAGCGGCGGACGGGUGAGUAACACGUGGAUAACCUACCUAUAAGACUGGGAUAACUUCGGGAAACCGGAGCUAAUACCGGAUAAUAUAUUGAACCGCAUGGUUCAAUAGUGAAAGACGGUUUUGCUGUCACUUAUAGAUGGAUCCGCGCCGCAUUAGCUAGUUGGUAAGGUAACGGCUUACCAAGGCAACGAUGCGUAGCCGACCUGAGAGGGUGAUCGGCCACACUGGAACUGAGACACGGUCCAGACUCCUACGGGAGGCAGCAGUAGGGAAUCUUCCGCAAAGGGCGAAAGCUUGACGGAGCAACGCCGCGUGAGUGAUGAAGGUCUUCGGAUCGUAAAACUCUGUUAUUAGGGAAGAACAAAUGUGUAAGUAACUAUGCACGUCUUGACGGUACCUAAUCAGAAAGCCACGGCUAACUACGUG
rnacentral:rRNA from 1 species